rnacentral:lncRNA from 1 species
CUUGCUUCACUAAGCGUCGCAAAGGAGAGGAUGAAGAAUCGUUGUUGUUGUUCAUCGCGGAGUAUUAUCGAUAGCGAAGAGUGGAGCUUGUGUGUUGCGUUCUGAGAUGAAGCUCGGAGGUUCCGCUCGUGUGCGUUGAGAUGAAGAUGAAGAUUGAAGGAUAAUCUUCGAUUCUUGUUGGCUUUCAAGCUUCGAUGCGGUUUUCAGGUAUGUUUCACUCGUUUUCUUUCUCUAUUUUCGUUUAUG